rnacentral:rRNA from 1 species
CACCAGACUCCUACGGGAGGCAGCAGUGGGGAAUAUUGGACAAUGGGGGAAACCCUGAUCCAGCGACGCCGCGUGAGUGAAGAAGUAUUUCGGUACGUAAAGCUCUAUCAGCAGGAAAGAAAAUGACGGUACCUGACUAAGAAGCCCCGGCUAACUACGUGCCAGCAGCCGCGGUAAUACGUAGGGGGCAAGCGUUAUCCGGAUUUACUGGGUGUAAAGGGAGCGUAGGCGGUAAUGCAAGUCAGAAGUGAAAGCCCGGGGCUCAACUCCGGGACUGCUUUUGAAACUGUGUUACUAGAUUGCAGGAGAGGUAAGUGGAAUUCCUAGUGUAGCGGUGAAAUGCGUAGAUAUUAGGAGGAACACCAGUGGCGAAGGCGGCUUACUGGACUGUAAAUGACGCUGAGGCUCGAAAGCGUGGGGAGCAAACAGGAUUAGAUACCCUCGUA